rnacentral:misc_RNA from 1 species
GGACAAAUAACAGGCAUCAUCACAAUUCCAGUUCUUCAAUGGUCAACAGAUCUCCGAAAUUAUCUUAUACACAUAAUUGUCAUGAUCUGCUGUAAUGGACCCACUCGACAUAAACAUUGAAAUAGUUGUUUCAUGAUGCCUCUCAAUUUGACAUGGUACAUCCCACAACCACCUUUAAGAAUUUAACGUAAUAGCUACUUCAACUCCAUUUACCAUUACAGUUAAAUCUAUGAAAGCCUUUCAUGAUAGGACACCAGUGCGAACCUACUAUCUUUUACCCUUUUCCUUUCGCCCAAGCAAAUUACGCGGAACCAUAUGAACUGAUCACACGGCAUACCAUGUGCUACUGCGUGACCCAUUGAGCCACCAUUUCCAC